rnacentral:rRNA from 1 species
GGGCGUAAGGGUGCGUAGGUGGCGAUGUAAGUCUGGUGUGAAAUCUCGGGGCUCACCUCGAAAUUGCAUUGGAUACUGCGUUGCUUGAGGAUUGUGGAGGAGAGUGGAAUUCACGGUGUAGCAGUGAAAUGCGUAGAUAUCAUGAGGAAGACCAGUUGCGAAGGCGACUCUCUGGGCAAUUCCUGACACUGAGGCACGAAGGCUAGGGGAGCAAACGGGAUUAGAUACCCCGGUAGUCCUAGCCCUAAACGGUGCACGUUUGGUGUGGGCGGGUUCAGACCCCGUCCGUGCCGGAGCUAACGCGUUAAACGUGCCGCCUGGGAAGUACGGUCGCAAGAUUAAAACUCAAAGAAAUUGACGGGGGCCCGCACAAGCAGUGGAGUAUGUGGCUUAAUUCGAUGCAACGAAAAGAACCUUACCUGGCCUUGACAUGCAUCUCUUAUUUAAUGAAAUUUAGCAAGUUGGCACCAAUGUCAACGAUUUGCACGGGUGCUGCCUGGCUGUCCUCAGCUCGUGUCGUGAGAUGUUGGGUUAAAUCCCGCAACCAACGCAACCCCUGUGUCCUGUUGCCCUCGAAGAUCUCUGGACAGACUGCCCUGUGAAACGGGGAGGAAGGUGAGGAUGACGUCAAGUCAGUAUGGCCCUUACGGCCAGGGCUGCACACGUACUACAAUGCUCACAACGGCUGAACCAGGACAGCGAGAUGGAGGAAAUAGAUAACUCUGGGCUCUCUAGUAUCGGAUGCUGCUCUUCCUCUUCGAUGCUGCUGGCAUCACUAGUAUGGCUCAUCAGCUACAGCGUCGAUGAUACCCUGCACGGCUAGUCCCCCCCCCCCGGUC